rnacentral:lncRNA from 1 species
UUUGGCGGCAAUGUCGUGAACCAUUGAAAGGCCGAACCAGACAAGGAUGAUGAGAACAACCGUACCCGUAGGGCAUCCUGCGUGGCUGCCUCUCCGCAUUGGAUGAUGAAUCUGUUCACGUGCUCUACGGUCGAAGUGUCAUCCAUCCCCGAAAAUUUAGUGAAGUCAGGAACUUUAUACCGAUGGGGGAACGGCAAUAGGUCAUAUGUAGACGGGUAUGGUGUUCUGUAGGUAUAAGUUUGUACUUUCGGCUUCAAGCCGAAUUGUUCUUGCAUCACCUCCGCAAUACGUGCCGACCAAUCUGGCUGUUGCUGGUGAACCGUUGGCUGAGGUAUUGGCACGUGCUGGUAAACCGGAGGCGGAACAAACGGAGGCUGAUUGAAAGCAGGUGGUA